GCUUAUCUGAAACAUGAUGAAUAAUUCCAUUUUCCAACAGUGCCUGUCCCAGGUUGACCCCUUCCUCUGGUUUGCUUAUCUCCCCAAUGUCUGUGAGCCAUGAUACAAACUCAUUGCCAAGAAAGCACUUGGGAACAGUACUUAAUUUUCUCCUCCUGUCUUUGAUAAGGUUCACUUUCUUGCUCAUCAUCAUUUGGUACAGCUUCUCUCCUUUCUCUGCAAUCAUGACGUACGCAUCCCUCUCCAUUCCCAGUUUCAAACUCUCUCUCUGUUCUCUUUCCUUGAUUAUAGCAUCCAGCCAUUUCUGUUUGUCCUCCGCAGUCUUGGCCAUACAGACAAACCACUUGUUUUUGGCUGUGUUGUGUAUCUUCCAGCCAUUUGUCACUGUGUAACCGUUGCUGUGGUAAUCUGCUGUUCCAUCUUCCACAUUCUCCACCUCCAUGACUUCUGUAUUUAUUCGACCUCUGAAGAUAUAAAGGGAUCCAUUGAUUGAUUUUGUCCGUUUAGAUGGUUUUUUCCCAGCAACUCUGGAUUUCCUCUUGCAAUAGACCAGUAAAUUAUCGAAUAGAAAGAACAUUCUCUCCUGGAUAUUUCCUGCUGAAAUUUUUAACAAAGUUCCUUGGAGCAAGAGCUGUGUGCAGAUAUCUGUCAGAUUUGACCCCUGAAACAGAAAAGACAUCUUGUUUACUCUUCACUUUUUUGUGUGUGCACACAAUGAAACAUUCUUACUAAAAUGCUGUUAUUUUAUCUGCGUGCUAUUAAACUGCAAAAUGAUUGAUGCAUUUAUGAAGAGGAAGUCUUCGAUUUCUUAUUUCAGUUAAACACAUCAUGCCUUUCUGGGUUACAAAUGUUUUGGAAUCUUCAUACACUGU
rnacentral:lncRNA from 1 species